GGGGGGGGGGGGGGGGGGGCCGCGGUAAUACGAAGGGUGCAAGCGCUACUCGGAAUUACUGGGCGUAAAGCGUGCGUAGGUGGUGGUUUAAGUCCGUUGUGAAAGCCCUGGGCUCAACCUGGGAAAUGCAGUGGAUACUGGGUCACUAGAGUGUGGUAGAGGAUAGUGGAAUUUCCGGUGUAGCAGUGAAAUGCGUAGAGAUCGGAAGGAACAUCUGUGGCGAAGGCGACUAUCUGGGCCAACACUGACGCUCAUGCACGAGAGCGUGGGGAGCAAACAGGAUUAGAUACCCCAGUAGUCCCUGUCUCUUAUAC
rnacentral:rRNA from 1 species